rnacentral:rRNA from 1 species
GACAGAGGUGCCGAGCGUUAGGCGGAAUCACUGGGCUUAAAGCGUGUGUAGGCGGACUUCUAAGCACCUUGUGAAAUCCCACGGCUUAACCGUGGAACUGCUUGGUAUACUGGUUGUCUUGGGCCAUCUAGGGGCUAGCGGAACAAACGGUGGAGCGGUGAAAUGCGUAGAUAUCGUUUGGAACGCCAAUGGUGAAAACAGCUAGCUGGGGGAUG